GAUUUCUGGUGCUGGGGGAGUGAUUAACGUGGACACAGGUUUUCAGGCUUCUCAGAAGCUCAGCCAGGGAUCAAACCCACAGCUGAUAACUGAUAUAUCCAAUCAGAUCUCUCCAUCUGGGCUUCAGCUACAGAUUUGCAAGUGUUGAUGUUUGAACCGUCCAGUCACUUAUCAGGCCUUUAAUUACUCCGGCCCACUGAUAAUGAGCAUCUCGUUUGCAGCUCGGAGAGAAAAUGAUGUCUCAGCACCUGGCAGGGAUGCUGAAGGUCAAAAUAGGCAAGGUUUUUUAUUUAUUUUUUUUGGCAGUGGUUCAUAGAGAAGCGUGUGGUUUUGGAUGGGUUAUACUCCACAAUCAAAACCAUUUAUUAUGUUUCGUCAGCAGCAAAACAAGAUGACAGACUGAGAGAAAAAUCAGUGGAAUCAUAGACAGUCCCAGGAUAGACUCCAACAUCUCUCUUGCUCUCUCUCUCUUUCUAUUGUGUUGAAGCCCAGCAGGCCCGGGCGGAUUACACAAAGACCAGAACUAACACCAGAACCUGUGACACUGGCUUCUGUAAGUGGUGCACCGUCAGCAUUAUGGACACAAAUGUAUUCCAUCUUAGACUGACAUUAGCAUUCCCACUGUGUGUCUGGAAUGGGAGAUUAAUCCCCAGGUAAUCUGCCAGAGAAAUGGAUAAAACAGUUUUCACAGGGAGAUGUAGAGAGGCGCCAGCUCUAUUGUUGCGCCUGGUGUCUAAUAUUUGGAGGUUUUAAUGCAGUGGGGAUUUUGCAUGGCCUGGGACUUUUACAAAGGCUGCAGGAAGCCAAGAGCUGAUUCUGCUGUAACAACGGACCCCACACUUUAUGUCAAGUCCAUUGUGUGUCACUGCAGAGUUCUUUACACAGCUAUAGGUAAAAAAUGCAACUGGACAUUCAUAUAGGGUGACUAGACAUCCCAAUAGAGUGCAUUUGUGCCUGCUCUUUUUUUUCAGUUGUGUUGGUUCUGGGAGUAUUUUUAUUUCUAUUCAUUUUUUCCCCAAAAAUAUAAUCUGACACAACUGUACUUAAUAGCUUUAGUGAAGAAAAGAAGUAGAAUCCUAUGAAGCAUUGUGAAUGACAAUCAAAUGAAAAUAAGCAAAUAUCAUCUAUUAACAACCUCAGAGCUCACAACAGGUCUGUCUUUAAAAGUUUAUAAUUACUGUUAAAAAUCUGUUUUUCUGUUGAGAAAAUGAAAAGUUUUUAUUUCCAGAACCCGACUGUUGCAGUCUAUAACAUAUGUACUGUUGCGAUUUUAGAGUUUCUAGUUAUUUAAUUAGUUCUGCUCUCAUUGGUUCCCUGCCUGUUUGUUUCUAUGGUUGCGGAUUAGUUUAAGUCCUUAGUUCAAGUGUGUCUAGUUUGGUUCUUCAAUUGGUCUGAUAAGUAUGUAAGCUUGAUUUUUAAUUGAAUUGAUUUUGUUAGUGUGUGUAAUAGUGGUGGUAUUUUCUCCUGUUUCGAGUGCUAUUAAAAAGUCUUUCUAAGAAUCUCCUGUGU